UUUAAGGUCUUGCUGAAGAAAUCUUAACAAACAUGAGUAUGGAUGCUGCAGUAAGAAGAUAAAAACGUAUCACUUUCAUACGGAAUGGGAGGCGGACAACUUUUUCACUGUGUCAUUUUCGAAGUGGGUUUGGCUCAUCUGCCAGAGUAGUGAAAUGUGGACCGGUAUUUUUGAAAGUGUUUAUGGAAAAUACGACACCAACAUUCCGCCGAAAAGCAAGGACCUGCCUUCUGCCACGUGCUUUUGUGCCUUUGCCUUUGUUGGACUGCCUUCCUGUGUAUGACCGCUGCCUGGAAUAAAAAACACCGUCGAAACCAUGUCACUGCCUCCAAGUCCUGCAUUUGGGUCCUACCCCUUGUCCAAUGUUCGUGAUAUAUGCUGCUUUUAAUUGUACUUUUAUUUUUUCCAUUUUUUAAUAUAUAUAUGUGUCAUUUUUAUGUUUUUCCCCCAUUUUUAAUGUUUUACUUCUUUGUAUUCAAAUCAUUUUAAUCAUGUAAAGCACAUUGAGUUACCUACAUGCAUUGUAUAAGUAAUUUUGCUUUGCUUUUCUUCGUGAGGAUAAGCAGUUCAGGAAAUUGAUAGAUUGAUAGUGUAGAGCCCUGCCUUGGUGAAUCAUUACAGACCUAGUUGAAAGCAACUGUAAGAGGAAGUGGCAAUGGCAAGGCCACAUUUCUACAAUUCUGUUGUUUAAGUAAAUAAAUGCCAGCCAUUAUGCAUCUGAUGCUCCAAAUCACAGUGUGACAAAGGGGGAGUGUGAUGAGUGCUUUUGUGAACAACUAACCAAUCCAGUAGCUUUUGUGGAUGUGUGGGGUACGGUGAAGUAUCACCUUGAGUCAUGAUGAAUGGCAAUAAUUUAGAUGUACAAGUUUAAAAGUGAGAACAUUUUUAGAUGCGCUGGACAUUAAAAGGUCUUACAAUAUUUUCAAAGACGCCCCCAAUGAACCUUACAAGAUUUUUUUUUAUUCCAUUUUAUUCAUGUUCUCCACUCUCUGUCUGUUCCAGGUUGUCCCGCUGCCAAGCAGCCCGUACAGCGGCGCAAACUCAUCACGGGUAAAUCCAUGAAUAACAGAAUGGACAACCUAUCCAACAAGUUUGGGCAAGCCUUCAUCUGUGGUCACCAGUGAGCGCUGCCCCGGCGCACAUUGGGACACGUCAGGAGCUGCAGUGUGUCCCACAACUUGAGUCACAGUGUCACUGUGAAGCAGGGCUUGGUGGAAAGCAGGGUGCCCACAAGGUAAACAGUGAUCAAUGUGUUAUUCUAGAAAUGAAGAUGAAAAAGAAAGUAGAAAAUACAUUUCAGGUCCCCAAUUAGGAGUUUUUCCACUACUUGCUUUUUAUGUUUCACAGAGGCUCACAGUGACGGAGUGAUGAAAGCUGAGGUGAAAAAGUGACUAGACCUGUACAUGACUCAUGCACAGUUUUGGGAUUCGGGUCCGUCAUAAAAAAUAAUAUGUAUUUUAAAAAAAACAAACAAAAAAAAAGAGUCAUACAGUUCUCAGUGAGUGCAAUUGAUGCAACAUAGCAGCAGUUACUGUGCCUUGUGAGAAAACAUCUGAAAAUGAGCUGUCUCUUGAGCUACUGUUUCAGGCAGCUGUUAAAGACAUCAUUCCAAGUAAAAGCAUCAGGUUUAAAUCUUGACUUCACACACAUGGAUUAUGUACUAAUCCGCUUCACGUACAAAAGUACUUUCCCCACCUGGCUAGAAUACCUAGUGGAGUGGAAAUGGCGGAUAAUGGGGAGCUCGUCUCCACUUUGCAGCAACCAUUCUUCCAGGAAGAAUGUGUGUCAGUGGGACUUUUUGCACAAACAUUUGCAAAGUCACGUCUUCCUCAUUAAACGUAUCUAUGCAUGCCUUUAUGGAUUUUGCUUUGCACACUACAGCACAGGGGAGCUUGAACAGAAAAUCUGUCACCAAACUGAUCAUGGAGGGACCAUAGCACCACACAAGAAUAAGAAUAUUGAGUGAGUAUGAAUAGGAAUAAUAAGUAGGAAUAAGCAGCAUAGAAUCGGCACGGUGGGCGACAGGACGGAGUGUCUGCCUCACAGUUCUGAGGACCGGGGUUCAGAUCCCGGCCUCGCUUGUGUGGAAUUUGCAUGUUCUCCCUGUGCCUGUGUGGGUUUUCUCCAGGCACUCACCUCCCACAUCCCCAAAACAUGCAUGGUUGGUGAAUUCCCUGCCCUGGAAACGGAUUCGCCACCACGCCACGCCCACGAUGCUGUUUCAACGGAUGCACUGCAAGCUCACGUGGCAGUGGGAACCGACCCGACACCGCCUUCUCACGUUGCUGUCCAGGAGGGGGCGAUGGUGUCGCCGCCUUCUCACGUUGCUGUCCAGGAGGGGGCGAUGGUGUCGCCGCCUUCUCACGUUGCUGUCCA